AGAGUUUGAUCAUGGCUCAGGAUGAACGCUAGCGGCAGGCUUAACACAUGCAAGUCGAGGGGUAUAGGUUUUCGGACCUAGAGACCGGCGCACGGGUGCGUAACGCGUAUGCAAUCUACCUUUUACAGAGGGAUAGCCCAGAGAAAUUUGGAUUAAUACCUCAUAGUAUUAUUUAAUGGCAUCAUUUAAUAAUUAAAGUUCCAACGGUAAAAGAUGAGCAUGCGUCCCAUUAGCUAGAUGGUAAGGUAACGGCUUACCAUGGCGACGAUGGGUAGGGGUCCUGAGAGGGAGAUCCCCCACACUGGUACUGAGACACGGACCAGACUCCUACGGGAGGCAGCAGUGAGGAAUAUUGGUCAAUGGGCGCAAGCCUGAACCAGCCAUGCCGCGUGCAGGAUGACGGUCCUAUGGAUUGUAAACUGCUUUUGUACAGGAAGAAACAGUUCUACGUGUAGAACCUUGACGGUACUGUAAGAAUAAGGAUCGGCUAACUCCGUGCCAGCAGCCGCGGUAAUACGGAGGAUCCAAGCGUUAUCCGGAAUCAUUGGGUUUAAAGGGUCCGUAGGCGGGUUUGUAAGUCAGUGGUGAAAGCCCAUCGCUCAACGGUGGAACGGCCAUUGAUACUGCAAGACUUGAAUUACUAGGAAGUAACUAGAAUAUGUAGUGUAGCGGUGAAAUGCUUAGAUAUUACAUGGAAUACCAAUUGCGAAGGCAGGUUACUACUAGUGGAUUGACGCUGAUGGACGAAAGCGUGGGGAGCGAACAGGAUUAGAUACCCUGGUAGUCCACGCCGUAAACGAUGGAUACUAGCUGUUCGGAGCAAUCUGAGUGGCUAAGCGAAAGUGAUAAGUAUCCCACCU
rnacentral:rRNA from 1 species